UAGAGCAUCUGACUGUUAAUCAGGGUGUCGACGGUUCGAGUCCGCCUACCGGAG
rnacentral:tRNA from 1 species